GAGGCUUCGGCGAAAAUUUGUGCACAAAUGGAAAGCAGCUUGUCAAGGGUUGAGAGCGUUAGGCUCUAAACGCUUGAU
rfam:Pseudomonas aeruginosa PAO1, complete genome.